CCUACGGGAGGUUGCAGUAGGGAAUCUUCCACAAUGGGCGAAAGCCUGAUGGAGCAACGCCGCGUGGGUGAAGAAGGUCUUCGGAUCGUAAAACCCUGUUGUUAGAGAAGAAAGUGCGUGAGAGUAACUGUUCACGUUUCGACGGUAUCUAACCAGAAAGCCACGGCUAACUACGUGCCAGCAGCCGCGGGAAUACGUAGGUGGCAAGCGUUAUCCGGAUUUAUUGGGCGUAAAGGGAACGCAGGCGGUCUUUUAAGUCUGAUGUGAAAGCCUUCGGCUUAACCGGAGUAGUGCAUUGGAAACUGGGAGACGUGAGUGCAGAAGAGGAGAGUGGAACUACAUGUGUAGCGGUGAAAUGCGUAGAUAUAUGGAAGAACACCAGUGGCGAAAGCGGCUCUCUGGUCUGUAACUGACGCUGAGGUUCGAAAGCGUGGGUAGCAAACAGGAUUAGAUACCCCGGUAGUC
rnacentral:rRNA from 1 species